CACCUCCAGAUCCCUUAUCCCUCAGAUCUAAAUAUUGGUCCGAGUGGCUAAAAAAGGCGGGAAGUAAACCUCAAUGGACUUGGAGUCUUCAAUGACAUGCAAGUUUAUUUCAAACAUAC
rnacentral:snoRNA from 1 species